rnacentral:rRNA from 1 species
CUGCCGAAAUCAAAAGGCGGCAUGGGGUUCUGAGACAUGAGAGCAUUUAACCAAGCUAUGUUGGCUAAACAGGCUUGGCGUUUAAUUGAUUCCCCGUAUAGUUUGUGUGCCCGCCUUCUAAAGGCCAAGUAUUAUCCAAACGGUAAUAUUUUUGAUACUAUAUUUUGGGCGAACUCAUCAGCAGUAUGGAAAGGUAUUGUUUAUGGCCUGGAUAUGGUUAAGAAGGGUAUAUGGAGAGUAGGCGACGGUGCUGCGAUUAAAGCAUGGCGCGGUCCAUGGAUUCCGUGUGGCCAUGAUUACCGGCCGGUUACGCCUAAGUGAAACUGUAGGUUUAAUCGUGUUUCUGAUUUUCUUGGUACUAAUGGUGCAUGAAAUACGGAGCGACUUGAGGAGCAUUUUUGGCCUAUGGACGUACAUCAUAUUUUGAAAAUUUGAAGUUCACCUAAAAAUUGUCAUGAUUUCCUUGCCUGGGCUCCUGAAAAGAAUGGGAGAUUUAGUGUGAAGAGUGCUUAACGGCUGGCUAUGCAUGAACACGAGGAUAAUUUUGCAGGUGGUGCUUCCAGUACCUGUUCGGGUGGUGAGCGUUCUCUAUGGUCAUGUAUCUGGCGAGCGAAAGUUCCGAUCAAGAUGCGGGUCACCGCCUGGAAGGUUGCGUCUGGGGCCUUAGCGACAAAUGAAUGCAAAGUGACUAGACAUCUCUCAAAUCGUGAAACAUGUCAUCCGUGUGGCCUUGAAGUGGAGAGCUCCUUCCAUGCUUUGAUUACAUGCGGCCAUGCAAGGGCCCUUUGGAGGCCAUGCAUGAGUUCUGGCCGCUUCCGGUAA